rnacentral:rRNA from 1 species
AUGGCAUAUGUGGUUGGAAUAGUCAACACUCUGAUUACUCCAAUUUACCAUAUCGUCUUCAAGCAUGUAAUGUACCCCUUCACGGCUAGCAGAAACGUGAAGCAUCUCAAAGAAGCAGCCCAGGGUUUGAUCGCCAAGGGCAACGAUGUCCGGUAUGAGAUUGAGAUUGCCGAGAGGAAUGGCAUGACAGCAAAGAAUGAAGUGCGGAAGUGGCUUGAAAAUGUGGACACCAUCAAGUCCGAUGAAGAAGCAAUUAGGCAGGUGUAUGAUGAGAGAUGCCAAGUUUUUGGGUGCAUCUCUCUGAAUUGCUGGUCAAACUACAAAAUCAGCAAGAGUGCAAAAAAGGAGCUUCUGAAAGCCCAAGAGUAUGCCAAGAUUGACACUAGUGUUGUCGCAGUGCAGCCGCUGCCACCAUCGGUCCGAGAAAUGCCUGUCUCAUCCAGUGGACUGCUCAGUGAAGAGCAUAAUAUGCAGGAGGCUGCCAGGUGCAUUAGGAAUUCUCCGGUUGGAAUGAUUGGGAUAUGGGGUCUAGGUGGAGUGGGAAAGACUCAUCUUCUGAAGAAGAUCAACAACUCAUUUCUCGGAGACCCUUUCUUCGAUGUUGUUAUUUUUGUUACAGCCUCAAAAGAUUGUUCAGUGGAGAAAAUCCAAGCUGAAAUAGUAAAGAAACUCAGCUUAAGGAAAGACGACGAUAUAGAGUCUCAAGCCAAUAUCAUUUCUGACUUCCUGAGCAGGAGGAGUUUUCUUGUACUGCUGGAUGACCUCUGGGAACCAUUGGACUUGCAAGCAGCUGGCAUCACACAUCCUCUUGGAUUUGUCGGCCAAUUCAAGAGGAAAGUAGUACUCACAACAAGGUCACGAGUUGUGUGUGGUACAAUGAAGGUCAGAAAAGAGAUAAAAGUGGAUUGCUUGAGGCAAGAUGAGGCAUUGCAGCUCUUCCAAGAGAACGUUGGCCAAGAGAUUCUUUUAUCCAAUCCGCACAUUGGAGCCCUUUCAAGAGAGCUUGUGACGGAGCUGAAGGGCCUGCCCUUGGCGUUGAUAGCUACCGGAAAGGCAAUGUAUCCAAAGAAAGAUCCAGGUGAAUGGGAAACAGCUAUUCGUCUACUGCGACGAUCUGGCCACGAUGCGGAUGAUCCAACGUCUGUGGAGAACACAAUUUACUUCAAGUUAAAACUUAGCUAUGAUAGCUUAGGGAAUGAUACCAUGAGACGUUGUUUCCUGGUUUGCUCACUGUGGCCAGAAGAUUCUCCUAUUGCUAAAGAUGAUCUGAUCCAGUGUUGGAUGGGCUUAGGUCUGCUUAAUAAGUGCGACGUACAGAGUUCUUACAGUGAAGGCUACAACAUAAUAGGCCACCUGCAAGCUGCAUCUUUGCUGGAAGGUAGUGAGGACAGUAGUAAGCACCUCAAAAUGCAUGAUGUGAUCCGUGAUAUGGCGAUAUGGAUAUCUUGCGGCUGCGGUGAAAACAAUAACAAAUGGGUCGUUCACGCAGCGAUCGGCAAAACUGCGUCUAGAAAGUGCAUCCCUUGGAACAGGGUGGAGUAUCUGUCAAUGAUGGGCAACGGACUGGAAGAACUUCCGUAUCUUGGUGGUGGCGUGAAUGAAAAUAGCAUGGGCUGCAGUGUCAGAUCCAAGUGUUUUCUUGGUUCUGGUUCCACAGAACUCAGGACACUGCUUCUUCAAGAUAAUAAGUUCAACGAGAAGGCACUUGGAAAUAUUUACCUCUUCACUUCAUUGACAUACCUAGAUUUGAGUCAGAACCACAUUCGUGUUCUGCCUUUAGCAGUCUGUGCUCUGGGAGAUCUAGAGUACCUCAACCUGUCUUACAAUUACAUCACUGAGUUGCCCAAGGACCUUCGACACCUCACCAAGCUCAAAUUCCUAUACCUAAGAGGCAACCCGAUACACACCGUACCAAAGGGCACCAUAUCAAGGCUGCAGGAACUGCAAGUGCUUGACCUGCUGUCGUCCCAGGUCUCGACACACGCAAACUAUACUCUAUCAUUGUUCCCAGAAUUGGACUUGCUGGAUAACUUGAAAGCUGUGGAGGUCGGGGUCAAAGGUGACGCGGCAUAUGAACUGCUAGGCAAGUUUCCGGGCCUCCCUGUUAGAUCCAUCCAUCUGAGCAGGCUGACAGGGACACCAACAUUCUGCUUCCUAGAUGGCUGCUUCUCGAGCUCCUCGGUGCAAGCGAGCCUAUACGACCUGACGAUCUACAAGUGCUGCAUGCAGCAGAUACUGGUGAGAAGCGGCGCGGAAGGAGCAGUCUCCCAGUUGGACGUGCUCAGAUCGCUCACGCUCGACAGCCUGCGCAGCCUGAAGGGGGUCAUCUGGAAGAGAGUGGCUCCGGAGUCUCUUUUUCCGAGGCUGACCUACCUGGCAGUCGUGCACUGCCAGAGUCUCAGGCACAUUUCAUGGGCCAUGCACCUGCCUUGCCUCGAGAGGAUCCUUGUGAACAACUGCGGCGGCAUGAAACAGAUCGUCCGGACCAAGAAGAAGGACGGCGGCGCUGGGGAAGAAGACAGGGGGCAAGCACCGGUCCAUGGCUUCCCUUGCCUCAGAUACCUUGAGCUGCAGAGCCUUCCCGGGCUGUCGAGCCUCUGCGACCCCAGCGUCCCCCUUGUCCAGAUGAGGUGGUGGGAGUCGCUGGAGUGGGUCGACGAGGGCGUCAAGCGUGCCGUGCAGCCUCUUGUUAAUUCGGACAUCACAGAUCAGCUGGAGCAGAGUCCUAUUUAG